rnacentral:tRNA from 1 species
GUGGCUUAGUCAGGAUAUAGCACUGGCCUCCUAAGCCAGUGGCCAAGGGUUCGAAUCCCUUCA